AGAACGAACGCUGGCGGCGUGCCUAACACAUGCAAGUCGAACGAGAAAGGGGUAGCAAUACCCUGAGUAAAGUGGCGCACGGGUGAGUAACACGUGACCAACCUACCCUUGAGUGGGGGGAUAACUGAGGGAAACCUUAGCUAAUACCGCAUAAUACCCACGGGUCAAAGGAGCAAUUCGCUCGAGGAGGGGGUCGCGGCCGAUUAGCUAGUUGGUGGGGUAAUGGCCUACCAAGGCAACGAUCAGUAU
rnacentral:rRNA from 1 species